UUUCCGUAGGUGAACCUGCGGAAGGAUCAUUAUUGUACUAAAUGUGAGGGGCAUUCUAGGGCUGUCGCUCACCUUUAAGUCGUGAAUGUAGGUUUGUGUUAUCACGCAUAUUAAUACACCUAACACUUUGUACAUUAAUGCGCGCGCACCUUUCGAGCUCAUCACGGAGGAGGGCCCGCGUUCUCACCCAAACUCCCCUAUUAAAAGUGUAGAUUCACCACAUUUAUGCAAACAAUACAACUUUCAACAACGGAUCUAUUGGCUCUCGCCACGAUGAAA
rnacentral:misc_RNA from 1 species